UAUCAUGUCACCACUCUCAUUAGAGAGUAUGCCAUCAUCCACAAAAAGAGGUCCUCUCACGUCUUUUCAGACUAGAUGAGGGAGAAACAUAAAUCCUUCAGAGAUAAAAAGCCCAACAAAAUAUUUUAUGAAUCAUGCAUGUUGAUUCCAAUACAUAUUUAUCAUGCUUAUACAUCAUUUCUUGCUUUAUUACUUCGCCAUCAUACAAUGUAUUAUGCAUCAAUAUUUAUCUAAGAAUUUGAUCAUUUUAAUUAAACAUGCAAAUAAUCGAUUUACAUAUGUUUAUAAAAAUGUAC
rnacentral:lncRNA from 1 species